rnacentral:rRNA from 1 species
UACGUAGGGCGCAAGCGUUGUCCGGAAUUAUUGGGCGUAAAGGGCUCGUAGGCGGUCUGUUACGUCGGGAGUGAAAACUCAGGGCUCAACCCUGAGCCUGCUUCCGAUACGGGCAGACUAGAGGUAUGCAGGGGAGAAUGGAAUUCCUGGUGUAGCGGUGAAAUGCGCAGAUAUCAGGAGGAACACCGGUGGCGAAGGCGGAUCUCUGGGCCUUACCUGACGCUCAGGUGCGAAAGCUAGGGGAGCGAACAGG